UACAGGGGAUGCAAGUGUUAUUCGGAAUUAUUGGGCGUAAAGCGUCUGUAGGUGGAUAUUUUAGUCUUUUGUUAAAUCUUUGGGCUCAACCUAAAACAUGCAAAAGAAACUAUUUAUCUUGAGUAUGGUAGAGGUAAAGGGAAUUUCCAGUGGAGCGGUGAAAUGCGUAGAGAUCGGGAGGAACACCAGAGGCGAAGGCGGCGACCUGGACAGUGACUGACACUCAACUACGAAAGCGUGGGGAGCAAACAGG
rnacentral:rRNA from 1 species